CAGAGUUGAAAAACUCCCUAAACCCUUUGUUUAUUUACCUGUUCAGUUGCUUCGGCAGGCGGCCCCAGGGCGGGGCCUCCAGCCUGCUCACGCAGGUGCCUGCCGCUGGCGCACAACAAAAACUCUUGCUAUAUUGUUACCAUUCUGAGUCCUAAAAAAAUGAAUCA
rnacentral:misc_RNA from 1 species